CUUUCUUUUACAAUCAAAAUUUUAAAUCUCUUGAUUUCAUCGUAAUAAAAAUGGCACUGUUAAAAGAGAUUUUAGAUUUUAACGAUAUUAUCAUGUCAUCGCCUAUUUAGAUUUUUUUUGUUUUGCGUGUCAAUUUUGGUCUUUAAACUUUAUUUUUCACUUUAGUCUCCAAAAUAAAAAUUAAAAAAUUUUGAAUUUAAAUCUAAAAUUUAUCUUAAAAUUAAUCCGAAAAUUUAUGAGUAGAAAGGAAUCUAUACUCAAAAAAAAAUGGUAGCUGAAUUAUAUAUUGUAAUAAUGCCUUCCUGCCACAUCGCGCGGGUCCUUAACUAGUAUAUAUAUAGAGAGAGAGAGAGAGAGAGUCCGACUGAAAUACUACUGAUAGCACCAAGUGCUUGGUGCUAUCGAGUUUUCCGCCGUUUGAUUUAAUCCUUUGACUAUUUUUACUCGUUAGAUUUAUUAUCCAACCAAUAACUCACUCAACCUUAGAGGACCCACAUCAUCUUAACCGUAUAUUUUUUUAUUUAAGGACCGAAAAUCUAAUAGCACUAAUAGCUUGAUACUAUUGAUAGUAUUCCAGCAUAUAUAUAUAUAUAUAUAUAUAUAUGUAGAGUCCGGCUACUAUACUAUCAGUAGCACGAGGCCUCCCGUGUUACAAAGUUGUUUUCGAUGAUGCGGCUUCCAAAUUGACGAUCGGCUCUGUUAGACUUGAUCUACACUAUUAAAAUUAUAUGAAAACUAAAUUUCAUAAUUUUUCGAUAUCAUUUACCUAUCAAACAAAUAGUUUAAAAUUGAACGGCUGAAAAUAAAAAUCUCAUAAAAAAUGAUGAUAAAAGAUUUAAAUUCAAAAUCAGAUAUACUGAUCUUACUCUAAAUAAUGAAAAGAAUUUUCUAUAAAAUUUUCAUCGGAUUUGGAUUGUUUUACACCGUUAAACUCACAAACACGCCACAUCGGCCAUUAAAAUGGUCAACUUUGAGAUCUUUUGAUCACUAGUCAAAUAAUGUCGAAAAAUUAUGAAAUUUAGUUU
rnacentral:lncRNA from 1 species